CCUGUGGAAUAAUACAUUGGGGACUAUUAAUUGCAUCAGACUAUUUGAAAAUAACAUCUCAGUGUGAAAUAAAAUCUUCAGUUCAUACCUAACAAUUGAAGCUUCGCUAGAGGGACUAGAUCAGCAAUGUCCUCUUCAGGAAGAAGAUCCUCCUCACUCCACUUGUCUGUACGGCGCGUGUCUAUG